rnacentral:rRNA from 1 species
CCUACGGGAGGCAGCAGUGAGGAAUAUUGGUCAAUGGUCGCGAGCCUGAACCAGCCAAGUAGCGUGAAGGAUGACUGCCCUACGGGUUGUAAACUUCUUUUAUAAAGGAAUAAAGUCAGGCACGUGUGCCUUUUUGUAUGUACUUUAUGAAUAAGGAUCGGCUAACUCCGUGCCAGCAGCCGCGGUAAUACGGAGGAUCCGAGCGUUAUCCGGAUUUAUUGGGUUUAAAGGGUGCGGAGACGGGUUGUUAAGUCAGUUGUGAAAGUUUGCGGCUCAACCGUAAAAUUGCAAUUGAUACUGGCAGCCUUGAGUAGAGUUGAGGUAGGCGGAAUGCGUGGUGUAGCGGUGAAAUGCUUAGAUAUCACGAAGAACUCCGAUUGCGAAGGCAGCUUACUAACCUGCCACUGACAUUGAUGCUCGAAAGUGUGGGUAUCAAACAGGAUUAGAUACCCUUGUAGUC